rnacentral:rRNA from 1 species
AACGAACGCUGGCGGCAGGCCUAACACAUGCAAGUCGAACGCCCCGCAAGGGGAGUGGCAGACGGGUGAGUAACGCGUGGGAACGUGCCUUUCGGUUCGGAAUAGUCCCGGGAAACUGGGGUUAAUACCGGAUACGUCCUUCGGGAGAAAGAUUUAUCGCCGAAAGAUCGGCCCGCGUCUGAUUAGCUAGUUGGCGGUGUAAUGGACCACCAAGGCGACGAUCAGUAGCUGGUCUGAGAGGAUGAUCAGCCACACUGGGACUGAGACACGGCCCAGACUCCUACGGGAGGCAGCAGUGGGGAAUAUUGGACAAUGGGCGCAAGCCUGAGCCAGCCAUGCCGCGUGAGUGAUGAAGGCCCUAGGGUUGUAAAGCUCUUUCGGCGGGGACGAUAAUGACGGUACCCGCAGAAGAAGCCCCGGCUAACUUCGUGCCAGCAGCCGCGGUAACAC